UGGGGGAUAUUGCACAAUGGGCGAAAGCCUGAUGCAGCGACGCCGCGUGGGGGAUGAAGGCCUUCGGGUUGUAAACUUCUUUUGCUCUGAACAAGGCAUGCUAAUGGGUGUGUUGAGUGUAGGGGUUGAUUAGCGCCGGCUAACUACGUGCCAGCAGCCGCGGUAAUACGUAGGGCGCGAGCGUUGUCCGGAAUUAUUGGGCGUAAGGGCUUGUAGGUGGCUGGUUGCGUCUGUCGUGAAAGCUCAUGGCUUAACUGUGGGUUUGCGGUGGGUACGGGCUGGCUUGAGUGCAGUAGGGGAGGCUGGAAUUCCUGGUGUAGCGGUGGAAUGCGCAGAUAUCAGGAGGAAUACCGGUGGCGAAGGCGGGUCUCUGGGCUGUUACUGACACUGAGGAGCGAAAGCAUGGGGAGCGAACAGG
rnacentral:rRNA from 1 species